UAUAGUAAAAAGAGAUGUCGUAAGGGAAAAUAAUGAUAUUACCUUACUAAUAGUGUCGUCAAAAACUGGUGCCAGAAGACUCGGUAAGACCAGAGACGCAAACGUUAAUCAUCUUAAUCAGGCGUAAAGGGUUUGUAGGCUGCUUUGAAAAUCUUAAAUUUAUAUNNNCUAAGGCAAUUAGCCUGGUAAAAUUAGGAUCAAUUAAAGCUAGAAUCUAAUAGAGGUUAANNNNNNNNNNNNNNAUAAAAUAAUACUUAGAGGAGGGAUUAAAUCUUAGAUACUAAGGGGAAUACUUAGGGCGAAAGCAUUUUACCACUAAAGAUUGACGCUGAGAAACGAAGGUGAGGAUAGGAAAUAGGAUUAGAUACCCCGGUACCCCUC
rnacentral:rRNA from 1 species